UAUGUUCUAUUCGUUUGCAAACUAAUUAUCCAUUUAUAUAUUUCAUAUGUCAUUGUUACAGGUUAACAUUCGUAUGAUAGUAAACUUAUAGAAGUUUGUUCCUUACUGUGAAUCUUUUUAUUGUAUUUCGACACCUGGUUUUUGUUAUUUGAAGAAACAUUAUGUCUUCUUUUGUGAAGAAAUACAAGAUAAGAUAAUUAAAGUAUAAACAGAUUUCAAAGCAUGUUAUACAAUGAAGGUGGCGUCCUUUAUACAACUUUUUGUGUUUGCCUAUUCCUACAAUUGUAUCGGAGCAAAUGUAAUAGAAGUAAAACUGACAAGCAUUUGCAGCAGUAAGGUUACACUCAGCUAUUCAAUAUUUGACUCAAAGACUGCGGAAAGUUGUGAAUAUCGAUGUUGGAACUGUACGGCAAAAUAUCGAGAGCUUGGCUCAUCAGAUGGUGGUCUUCGCAAGGUCGAGUACUCACACCUUAACGCUGAUGGAGAAAUCAGACUAGAUGGACUGUCUGCGGAGAGUAAUUACAGUAUUCAUUUGAAAUGCGGAGCUAUACAAUCAAAUGAAGUAUUCUUUUUUACUGAAGGUACCAAUACCAGCUGUCCUGACGAUAUAAUCCCAAGCUCAACACUAAGUCCAGUGAUGGUAUUUCAUGAAGACACGUUACUGGGGACAAGAGACUCUGUGCUUGGAAUUGUGUUUUCUCUUCUUGGUCUCCUGAUCAUCUUAAUCACAACUUUUUAUGUGGUGCGCAAAAUAAGAAGACGGAGACGGCUGGAGAGGAUUCGGACAUACCUUGGAUCAACAAUUAUUGACCCCUUUGAGAAUCUUCAAAACCGUAUAGAGGAGGAUUCCGGGAGUCAGCGACUGAUUGAAGCACGAGAAAACAGGGGCUCAACUGCUGAAUUGUGAUAUACAUGAAGAUACAAAAAAUUAGGGCAUAAUUUCUAUUGGAAUUAUUGAAUCUGAUACUGUUCGUAGUUGAAUUGUGUUACAAGAAGCAUUUAAGGCAUUAAUUAUUCCAUUUAUCAGGGCUGUAAAAUGCUACUGACUUGCUCAAAAUAAUGACUAAAAUUUGGUUCCCUGCAAGUGUGAUGUCAAAAUCCUUGCCAGAUCAGAAAACCCCUUCUUGAGAUCAGUUAGUGCUUUGAUUUUCUAACAGGUACUUGCCUGGUACCGACAUGAAAACACUGUGUAAACUUAUAUUACUGUAUAAUGCGUUAAUUAGAUUUGUUUGUAACCGUUACCAGUCAAUAUGCGUUUGCAUGGGGUUAAUAUUUGCAUUUGCACGUUUUGUUGUAAUGCACAGUGUUGAAAACAGCUUGAUUUCUGCAAUUUUUUGGGAAAAAUGUCUUGAGAGGUUUGACAGCUGCAAACAUGAAAAUCUAGGUGAGCAGAAAGUAAGUAAGGGCAACCUGACUUUGUCAGCUGGUAGCCAUAUAAUGGCUGAUAGCUUUUAAGAGAUUUAUACACACUUGUACAUUUGCUGUUGGAUACUCUUUUUGCAUUUAUUUUAAGAGUUGUGAUACAUGUAGCUAUAGCUUUGUUUAAAAAUCAAUUCUUUCGGUAAUGUUAGAAUUGGAUACUCUUUUGUACUGGUAUUUUAAAGUGAUUUCCCAUUCUUUUAUGUGUGUCUGUAAAUGUGCAUUAGAGUUAACAUAUGAGCUGUCGAGCUCUCGACAAACAGGGCUUCAUGCAUGUGUGUAAAGUGUCAUCCAAGCUAAUAUUUUCUUCUAUGACCUAGUAAAGGCUGAUACCAACAAGUUGACUUGUGUUGGUGUAGAACCACAAAAUAGUUUAUAUGUGUUUUAUAAACACAUCUGCAUAGAAUAGUGGUGAUUUCCAAAUAGUACAUAUUGUUCAUACUGGAAUGAGUUUAAAUUAUUUACAAUUAUACAAAACACUUAUUUCCUUGAUUUUCAAAUUUCUUCAGAACUGCUAUUUUGGUUUUUCAUAUCAUCUACAUGUUAUCUUUUUUGAAAAGUUUUUGCUACAGUGAGUUCAUAAACUUGUAUACUUGCUUUAACUAAUUUUUUUAGGAAAUGAACGAAAGUUUAAUGCCUUUAAGAAAUCCAACCAAGUGGGCCUGUUAUCACAAACGUUUUAAGUAUAAAAUACAGACUCAGACUUAUAUUUCCCAAAUUUAAAAAUUGAUUUUCUAGAGAUAUCAAAUCGUGUUAAGUGAAUGAAAAGUGAUAUUUGUGUAGUUCUCUUUAUAUUGAAUGUGAUCGUUUUAUGAUACAAAUUAUCGGUAAAAUUAUAUUUGGAUUCUUUUCUUUAGCCUAUAAUUAAGACUUUAAACUUAGGAAAAUUCAAGUCCAACUUAAUUAUAAAUUCAUUAAUUAUUUAUUAUAAAUAAAGGUAGAACUGUUAAAACUGCACAGGCUAAUCUGGGAUAUUACUUAACAUUUGGUGAAUUCAAGUCCAACUUUGUUAUAAAUGCAUUAAUUAUAUAUAGGAUCUUACAUGAGUGGUCGUGUUGUAUUGAAUUUAUUAAAAAAGUCCUUUAAAUAAAGAUAAAAACGAGGCUCUUUUAUUUUAUGCUCUUUUCAUCGUUUAUUCACAUUGUAAAAGAGUUUAACUGAAGAAAUUCGCUGGAAUAAUGACGUCAUUUUGUCCAAAAAAAAGACGUCAUUUCACAGUUAUUUAACUAGUGUUAUAACACCCGUGUAAUAAACAAAAAUGAGCAUAACAUUAUUUCACGCCUAAGCCGUAGGUAAUGUUAUAAUUACUAAUAAAGGUAGAAAUGUUAAGACUGCACAGGCUAAUCUGGGUAAUACUUAACAUGUAUGCAUUAAGUCCUGUUUUCCUAGAACCAGGCUCAUUUAAUAUGUCGAUUGUUGAAGAUUUUUAGUGUAUUUUACAACAAGUGUAAUACAUGAUAUUCUUCUUGUUUGGAAUGCCUGUUAACAUUGUGUACAUUAUGUCAUUUGUAAAUGGUCACACUAAUUGUUGAUAUUGGUAAAUUGAUUAUAAUAAAAUUGAAUUGAAACCAAAGAAAAUAUCAUGCAUUUGUUUGAAAGUCACACAUGACAAUGACUUGUAUGUGUUUUUAAAUUUGAAAAUGUUCAAAGCUCGUUGAUGAUAAUUCUAUUUGUUAUCAUGUUUAUACUUAAAUGCCCUUUCCAUAUAAUUUUGGUUUCAUUCAGAUUUCAAAAAUAUAUGUUUGCAUUCUAAAAAAAAGAAACAUAUGACAUUGUAGGUUAUAAUUCCAUUGUAAACUUAUCAGUUUAAAAGUUGAAAAAAGAGACAUCCAGUUUUACUAUGUUUUUAUGCCCCCAAAGGAGGACAUAUACUGGUAGUGAUCGGACUGUCAGUCUGUCCGUCCGUCUUUCUGUCACACUUUGGGUUUAGGUUUCGAAAAAUGCUCAUAACUUCUAUGUCGCUUCAGAUAGCAACUUGAUAUUUGGCAUGCAUGUGUAUCUCAUGGAGCUGCACAUUUUGAUUGCUGAAAGGUCAAGGUAAAAAAAAACAAGUUCAAGGGAAGUAAUAAGCUUCAAAGGGAGAUAAUUAUCUGUACCUGCCUAAUGAAAGAAAAAAUUAAUAAAUCAAAGCGGUGUAGUAGGAGGCAUUGUGUUUCUGAAAAACACAUCUCUUGUUCUUAUUAAAAUGUAAAUCUUUUGUGUUGUAAGCUAUAACAUAGCUAUCAAGCCUUAUUUGUUGCACAUUUGUAUAUAAUUUAGUUCACUUUUAAACAAAUAAUAGGAUUUUAUUUUAUGCUUUCCGGUGGUUUAUAGAGAUAUAUCAGUGAAUUAAAACUGAUAAUUUCACUGUUUCAAACAGUGAAAAUUAUAAGUGAAAAUUAUCGAUAAUUUUCAUUGUUUACUGUGAAAUGACGUCAUUUUUUUACGAAAUGAUGUCAUUAUCACAGCAAAAUUCUUUAGUUAAACUCUUUAACAAUAUAUAUAAACUGUAAAAAAAAGCAUUCAAUAAAAAGAAAAUUUGUUGGAUUCGGUGGAUUAUUGAUUUUAAUUCAAUCGUGAUCACAGAAAAAAAAUCUAACAAAUAUCCUUUAUAUAUAAUGUGUUAUCAUUUUAUACAAAACCUAUUUGUGUCCCUUUUUGCCUUCCAUUUGUUCUGAGUAAAGGGUCUGGCCAGUUUAUGUAUUAUUUUUACAUGUUAUGUAUUCAUUGAAGGAGCCUUUUCACAGAUUUUUGUGUGUAUUGAAGUUUGUCAUAAAAUGCUUUAUAUUGAUAAAUUUAUAAUUGGACCUAAAAAUCUCCAGUAAAAAUCAAUGAUACAAUUAAAAAAGUAACCCUCCACUGUUCUUGAACCACUGAUCCCUGGAGUCCUGGAGUAAAAAAGUCUUCCGCUUAGACCACUCGGCCAUCUGUGCUCAUGCUAUGAGGGGACGUAUUUUUUACUUUAUAUUAGCAAUCCUCAAAGUUUCACAAAAUAUAACGACAACAAGGAACUUUCCAAAUUAUUCAAUCAUUUUGCGUUUCAUGUUUUUAAAUGGUCAAAAGAUGCAUAUAAUGGAUAUUUUAGAGCAUGGUAAAUGUUCAGUAUUACUAUUUCCUCACAAAUAUCAUGACUAAAACGAAAAUUUGCAAAUCUGAACUUUUUUAAUUUUGUCAAUUUACCAAGACAUGAAAAGGCCCCUAUAAUCCAUAUCUAUUCUGUGCCAUGACUUUAUAGUAAUCCAGUUGCCCUUUUUAAUAACUGAUUAAACUAUUGAUUAUUAACUUGGCUGUUUUUUGAAGAAAACCCGAAGUAUUUUCAUAGCCGGCUCGCUGUCUGCCAUCCGCCGUGCUCAAACCUUAACAUUGGCUUUAAAAUCAAAGUGCUUCCACCUACAACUUUGAAAUUUCAUAUGUAUAUACACAUUGAUGAGUUCUACACGCCACACCUAUUUUGAGGUCACUAGGUCAAGUUUCAAGGUUACUGUGACCUCUAAAAAAAAUAAUUCUGACAAACUUUCAUUUAUUCCAAACUGCACCUGCAGCCGAGCGUGGCAUCCGUUAUGCGGUGCUCUUGUUACAAAAUUUGCUUUAUCAUGUUGGGAUUUUAUAAGAAAAAAAGCUUGUGUGUUUUCAUGUCAGUCAAUUAUAAUUUGUCUUUUUGCUCAACUAAAACAAGUUUUUUUUGUACUUGAACAAGUCAUGCAUAAUUAUGCACCAUACAGAUUCUUAAUGUUUCACUCAAUAUCAUUUUCUAAUGUGGGUAAAUACUAAGGUAAUUUGCUAUGUGUUUUGUUAACCAGGUUUUCCGAAGGAAAAAAAAGGUUAUUAGAUUGGCGAAUGUCGGCGGGCAGGCAAUAACUUUGUCGUUCAUUGUGAGAUCUUAAAAUCAUUUGGCACAUUCGUUCACCAUCAUUAGAUGGUGUGUCGCACGAAAGAAUUACAUCGAUAUCUCCAAGGUCAAGGUCGCCACAACUAAAAAUAUAUUUAUUUUGAAAGAAAGGGGGUUAAUUGUAAACAAUCAGUUCAGUUUGAGUUGUCUCUGUUUAUCAGACUUAUUUUUCACAUUGAAAACCUGGUUUUGUGACAAUUUUGUUCCUUGUUUAUAUAAAUCACUAAACCAUUGGUGAAAUUAUCAUGUUUGUGUGUCUUUACUGGCUUUAUGUUGGAUAUGAAAGUAUUAAUUAAUAAGACAAAAAUUAAAAACAUCUUGUCAGAAACCACUUGUCAGAUAAGAUUAUUUUUGAAAAGUUGAUGGAUUAUUUUUCUUAAAAAUCAAAUCAUGCAAAAAUGGUUCUUAUGACAAGUUUAUCCAGUAUAGCCCCAUACCAACAUGUGUAUCGCUGUCGAUUAUAAAGUCACACUAGGUUUCAUGCUCUUAUUAGUGGAAAAGGUAGACCUAACUUCCCAAACAUACAGGCUGGUCUGCAGCUACACUGGACGCGUAUAUCAUACGACCUAUUUAAGCAUUUAAUUGGUCUUAUUGUAAUGGUAUUUGAAAAACAGUUUCAAACAAUAGAGCAAUGCAUUAAUGUGUUAGUAAAUUUAUGAUCUCUUAAUGAUCUUUGCACCAAUUAGUUUUCCUAUUAUCUAUUGCUAAGAAGAUAAAUGUGUAGUAGGUUCAAAUAUUAUUAUGUGUUUUAAGAAAAUAUUUUAAAAUAAUGCACUUGCUAAGUAACACAUUUAAGAAAAGCAAUGUUUAAUGUAUGUUACUAUUUGCGAUGUAUGCGUUCUGUAUAUAUAUAUACAAUAUAUAUGUGAAUGUUGUUUUAAUUUGACCAUCACCUUGUUAAGUCUUAUUUUCAUUUAUUGUAAUAGCAAUAAACUGCUACAUAAAACAUAUAUAUUCUUUACGGGGUAGCUGUGGUAAAUUAGGUUUAUUAAAAGGGACCCCAUGCAGACUAUACAGAAAUGGGCAUAGUAUAACAAUAAAAAUGUGAACACCAUAUUUUAAAUUGGUUAUUAAGAUGGAAAACUAGCUUCCUACAGAGAGUAUGAGAAUCAUUUAUUCUAAGGAAAUACAUGUACAAAUAGACACCUAACAUAGACUUUGUUAUUCAGUCAUGCAUGUGUAAGUGUUAAAGGAAUAGUUAUUAUGUAGGUUUUUUUUUAUGAAAUGAAGAAAUUCCUUAAAACUCUUGAUCUCUCCCACAAACAAAAGCAAUACUGCACAACACAUAUCUCCUGCUCCCAUAGAUUUAGAAAUAAUUUUAUUUCUAUUUGUUAAAUUUUGGAUUUGUUUGUUUGAAAUAUUUUUUUUCCUAUAGCAUAUGUUAAAAGUAAAUAAGACUUAAUUAGUAUGUAUAGCUGAUUGAAGGGAUAUGAAGCUCACAGUCACCAUAACUCUUUGCUUUCAUAUAUGAGUUGUGUUCUGAGGAAAAUGGGCAUACUACAUGUGUGUAAAGUGUCAUCCCAGAUUAGCCUGUGCAGUCUGCACAGGCUAAUCAGGGACAACACAUUCCGCCUAAACUAGAUUUUUGCUAAGA